rnacentral:rRNA from 1 species
AUGGCGACCGACGCCGACGAGGCCCCGCUGCUCGCCGACGAGCCCCUGCGGCCGGGAUCCUGCAGCCGGGAGCUCGAGCUGCGGGAGUUCCGCGACCGCUACGUCUUUCGCUCGCUCGACGGCGGCGGCGCCUUCGCCGUCGCCCGCUCCGACGGCUCCCUCCGCCCCCUCUCCGCAGAGGAAGCCGCUGCCGGGAGCGACUGUAAGGUCUCCAAGAUAUACGGAGUGGCCGGUAUGAUCAGGUUGCUCGCCGGAAGCUACGUACUUGUCAUCACUUCUCGCAAGGAUGCUGGCUCUUAUGGGGCUUCCACAGUUUACCAUGCAAAUUCGAUGAAAUUCUUGUGCUGCAACGAGGCUAUAAAGCAUUUAACUUCAGAGGAAAAACGAGAUGAGGCAUACUUCAUGUCUCUCUUGAGAAUUGCAGAAACUACUUGCGGACUUUAUUAUUCAUACGACAGGGAUUUGACAUUAAACUUGCAGAGGGCAUCAAAGCUGGCUGCGGGGAGGGUACAUAAGCCACUAUGGAAGCAGGCUGAUCCACGGUUUGUUUGGAACAGGAAUUUGUUAGAGGAGCUUAUUGAAACUAAGCUUGAUGAGUUCAUUACCCCACUGAUCCAAGGAAGUUUUCAGACAGAGCAAUUUACCUUGAAGGAUAGACUAGUCAGAAUAACUUUAUUCUCUCGGAGAUGCAACAGGCGUUUAGGGACAAGAAUGUGGAGAAGGGGUGCAAAUCUGGAAGGUGCCACCGCCAAUUUUGUCGAGACAGAACAGCUGGUUGAGUAUGAAGGUUUGACGUCCUCAUUUAUACAGGUUCGGGGCUCUAUUCCACUUCUCUGGGAACAGAUAGUGGAUUUAAGCUACAAACCACGACCCAGCAUUAUUGAACAUGAAGAAAUGACGAAGGUUGUUGAACGCCACUUUCACGAUCUUUCACAAAGAUAUGGAGACACAAUGGUUAUUGAUCUGACCGAUAAAGCCGUACAGCAGAGACAGAUGACAGUUUGUCCGACCUUUUUUUUAUUGCAGCAAGGUGAUGAAGGAAAUUUAAGCAAUGCAUUUGCUGCUGAAAUGCAGAACUUUCCUGAUAUCAGGUAUGUGCACUUUGAUUUCCAUCAUAUUUGUCGCGGAGGGAACUUUGAUAACUUGCAAGUUCUCUAUGAUGAAAUUGAGGAAGCUAUUCAGAAACAAGGAUAUUUCCUUAUGAACUCUAAAGGAGAGAUAUUAUUGGACCAAAGUGGCGUCGUUAGGUCCAACUGCAUAGAUUGCCUGGACCGCACAAAUGUGACACAGAGUUUCCUUGCAAGAAAAUCUUUGGACUCACAGCUGCAACGAAUGGGGGCAUUAUCAUCAGCUGAAAGUAUCUCUCAAUCUGAUAGCAUUAACGAUAAAUUUAAAAAAUUGUGGGUUGAGCAUGGUGAUGAGCUAAGCCUUGAAUAUGCUGGUUCUUAUGCCUUAAAGGGAGACCUUGUAAGGUAUGGAAGGCAGACAUUGCCUGGAUUGAUUAAAGAUGGCAUGAGCGCUCUUUCCCGGUAUUAUUUGAACAAUUUUCAUGAUGGAGUGCGACAAGAUGCUCUAGAUCUUAUCAGUGGUUACUACACGGUCAGCAAAAGCAGUUCUUCUCCUUUUCAAAUCAUUGGAUUUGAAUCUGCACCAUAUCUUCCUGUGGCGUCGGCAAUCAUAGUUGGUGGGAUCACUGUCACAACUUUCACUCUUAGUCAAGUUGGACGGAGCGCACAACACCUCAUCUCAUCCAUCAUCUUCGCUGGCUUGACAGCCGGAGUGGUAGCCUUGGUGAAAGCGAAUGGGAAGCAGCUCUGCUCUAGACCCCGAUUAUGCGGUCUGAUCUAG